rnacentral:sRNA from 2 species
AUAGUACAACUUACCCUCUAAAAUCCCUCCAAAAAAUUCCAAGAGAAAGCCAAAAAUGGGCCAUCUCGUCUAAGAACUAAUCCAAACGCGCCCUACCCCACGAAAACGCCAGAGACCUAUCAUUGCGAAUAUGCCCGUAUGUGGGUCAAGAUCAAAUCCGUCUACGCGCUUAUUACAAUCACCGAUGCUGAAAACGCCACUCUGGCUGAAAUGCUGGGGACUUGUUGAGCGGGAAGGAAAAGAAUGAAAAACUAACAUAGGGGCGGCGGCGGGGUCUGGGGCUGUAGGUUUGGUGUAUACGUUCAGAGCAGAAUAUAGAUACUCUCGGUUCUAUUUUCGCGAUUAUAUAUUGCAUUUUUCAUAUCUAAACUUACGCAAGAGGGU